AUUGAACGCUGGCGGCAUGCCUUACACAUGCAAGUCGAACGGCAGCACGGGAGCAAUCCUGGUGGCGAGUGGCGAACGGGUGAGUAAAGUAUCGGAACGUGCCCAGUCGUGGGGGAUAACGUAGCGAAAGUUACGCUAAUACCACAUACGACCUAUGGAUGAAAGCGGGGGAUCGCAAGACCUCGCGCGAUUGGAGCGGCCGAUAUCAGAUUAGGUAGUUGGUGGGGUAAAGGCUUACCAAGCCGACGAUCUGUAGCUGGUCUGAGAGGACGACCAGCCACACUGGGACUGAGACACGGCCCAGACUCCUACGGGAGGCAGCAGUGGGGAAUUUUGGACAAUGGGCGAAAGCCUGAUCCAGCCAUGCCGCGUGCAGGAUGAAGGCCUUCGGGUUGUAAACUGCUUUUGUACGGAACGAAAAGGUUUGGCCUAAUAAGCUGAGCUCAUGACGGUACCGUAAGAAUAAGCACCGGCUAACUACGUGCCAGCCGCCGCGGUAA
rnacentral:rRNA from 1 species